ACUCGACAGAGAAAUUGAGAUAGGCAACACAACUGCUCCCCCUCCUCCUCCCCCCUUAUUUUAUGAAUUAAAAUUUUUAUACUCUCUGUAGCAAUGCUGCCCUUCAAUUUUUUAUAUUUCAUUUAGAUCUUGUAUGAUCAAUUAUUCUGCAAGGCCUUAGGUCCAAAGUAUGUGUUAUAAAUAGUAGGUAGCAAUGUUCAUAUCAAACUCUUGACUUGUCAGAUUACAGAAGCCCAAUCAUUACCAAUUUCUUCAUUUAAUCAUAUGCAUAAUAGAAAUUCUUCUUAAAUAUGUUUAGGAUCAAACUUGAACUUGCCAACCAUGGUGCGUCAAAAUCAAUGAUCUAGUGGUCUCAUAUGGCUUUUUGCAUUAAUGUUAUAUUUAAAGAAGAAACUAUGUAUCAAAUAUAGAUAGCAAUCAAAAUAUGUCUUGGCUAAUGUUUAGGCUUUCAAUUGCAAUUGCAAUGAUAUAGGUUUUCCUACUAGAUGAAUUGGGGCUUGGUGGAUCUUGCAUAACCUUCUUUGCAUUGUUUUCCAUUAGAUCUAUUGAUGCGAGCUUGAGUUCGUGAAUUGGAUAUGGGGCAUUCUAUGGAUGGUAUUAAAGUUCAUCUUGUGCAAAAGAGCUCUUGGAGCUUGUUGGAUUCAAAUACUUAUCACCUUUUGCAUUCAAAGUGACAAAAUAUAUAGACCAUAUCCAUGAUAAAGAAGCCAAUAAUCUAGGCUUAAAAUAGAGGAGAUGAAACCAGUAGCCUGAAGACUAGGACUAAGAUUAACCAAAAAAGAAAAGUGACCCAACUAACAUGGCCAUGCGCCAAGCACUCUGUGUCCUACUUCAUGCAGCUUGUAUCCCCACUUAAAACUAUUUCAUAGUAUGCCCCAUAACCAUUUCACUUACAUUCCCACUUAAACUACUUCAUAGUAUGUCCCAUAACCAUUUCAUGCUUCAUGCAGAGCCAUUGCACUUGUCAAGUAGAACCAUGUACAUGGGCCAUGCCCACCUAUACAGAACCACUUGUAACAUUCACCUCUCCCUCCAAAGUAGAACCACUUGUACUCAAGGAGAAAUGUUUGAAUCGAGUUGUGGAAGUUUGUUGGAAUGUUAGGGUCCCAAUGUCCCACAUAUUGAGAGCUAGAUGUGGGUAGAUAAAGCUUUGGGCUCCCUCCCCCGAACAGCUAGCUUUCUGAUCCAAGUUCUCUUGAGGCAUUUAUCAGAUCCAUGUCAACAAGAUAGGGCAGAACGAAGCAUUUUAUUUUACAACUUUGUGGUAUGUGGGGGAAUGUUAGGUAAUCUAAAAAUUUAAUAAAUUCAGUCAAGUCUUUUGCUUUCAAGUUCCUGUAAAGGAAUACAUGAAAUUAGCAUAACAUCUCCCUAUGAUGAUCUAUAACUUAAUCUCGUAUUCCAAUACUUUGUCUAUAGAAUUGCCUAAUAGGCAUGCUAAAAUGUUUGAAUUAAAGGGAUCAACCAAAACUGAUGCAGCUCUUGUGGGUGUGUUUGACAAAAAAAGGGGGGCUAAAACAGAAGGAGAGGGAGGGAAACAGCAAGAAGAGGAAUAAUAACAAAGACAAUAGAUAAAUAAUGAUUUUGAUGGUAUAAAUGUGCUUGUUGGUUAUUUCAUGUAACUGUAUCAAGAUAGAGACUGCUAUAUGUAUUUUUUGUUGUCCAUUCAAUUGUUCCACGUCCUUUCUUACUGAACAUAACUUUCACCACUCACCAAUGCCAUUUAUGUUUAAUUCAAUUUUAAUUUUUUGUGUACAGGUGUUCCAUCUCCUAAGCAACG
rnacentral:misc_RNA from 1 species